rnacentral:tRNA from 1 species
GCCUGGGUGGCUCAGUCGGUUAAGCGUCCGACUUCGGCUCAGGUCAUGAUCUCAUGGUUUGUGGGUUCGAGCCCCGCUUCGGGCU